rnacentral:misc_RNA from 1 species
GCAAACUUGGUCAUUUAGAGGAAGUAAAAGUCGUAACAAGGUUUCCGUAGGUGAACCUGCGGAAGGAUCAUUAACAAUUUGAUCAAAUUGAUUCUUCUCUCUAUCCACCUUGUGUGCAACUUAAAAAGAAAUAGCCUACUCUGGAAAGAUUAUUUUUUUAAUCUUUCCAAAGAGGUCAUUAUCAUCGAUUAUUUUUUUUUCUUUUCUAUUUUAUUAUCUAAAAAUAUGUAAAUUGAAAUAAGAAACAACUUUCAACAACGGAUCUCUUGGCUCUCGCAUCGAUGAAGAACGCAGC